GUGGGCCACUGACGCACCAUUCUGAGAACAACCACAGAACGUUCCAGCCCUAAGUCAGUGCCAGAUGUCCUGACCACAAGAUGUACCCUGAUACCACCAAGUUCCUGCUUCCCCCUGUAGUUGCCAAAAGAAAAAUUUCUGCUGCCCCAUCCCUCCUGCUGAGAAGUAUUUCCUCUUUGUCUUGUGCAUUUAAGCCUUGAGUCUUGCUGAAUACAGAGACACCUUGAUGCUACUCAGACUGCUUCUGUGUCGUUCUUGCACUUGGUGUCCGUCUCUCUCUCCCCCCAUUUGGUUCUUAGGAGAAGGCCACCUCGAGACCCUUGAAUAACUGGACCUGCUGGACGGGUCAUCUACUAGCAUCAUAAAGUUACUCCUCAGGCUCAGCAGUUCUGAGAGCUCUCCUGGAAGUUCUACAGAAUCAUGGACACAAAAUUUGGGGACUCAUCUGGGAUUCCCAAGCGGAUCUCUGGAAUCUGCAGUCUUGGGAGUCUAAAACUGUUGGGAUUCAGGCCCCAGAUCUAUGGAUGAAGUACACUCACCAUGUUUUCUACCAAUGAGUUGCACCGCAGCUAGUA
rnacentral:lncRNA from 1 species